rnacentral:rRNA from 1 species
UUAAGUGACUAAGCGUACACGGUGGAUGCCUAGGCAGUCAGAGGCGAUGAAGGGCGUGCUAAUCUGCGAAAAGCGUCGGUAAGGUGAUAUGAACCGUUACAACCGGCGAUACCCGAAUGGGGAAACCCAGUGUGUUUCGACACACUAUCAUGUCAUGAAUACAUAGUGGCAUGAGGCGAACCGGGGGAACUGAAACAUCUAAGUACCCCGAGGAAAAGAAAUCAACCGAGAUUCCCCCAGUAGCGGCGAGCGAACGGGGAGGAGCCCAGAACCUGAAUCGGCUUGUGUGUUAGUGGAAGCGUCUGGAAAGUCGCGCAGCAAAGGGUGAUAGCCCCGUACACUAAAAUGCACAGGUCGUGAGUUCGAUGAGUAGGGCGGGACACGUGACAUCCUGUCUGAAUAUGGGGGGACCAUCCUCCAAGGCUAAAUACUCCUGACUGACCGAUAGUGAACCAGUACCGUGAGGGAAAGGCGAAAAGAACCCCGGCGAGGGGAGUGAAAUAGAACCUGAAACCGUGUACGUACAAGCAGUGGGAGCACCUUCGUGGUGUGACUGCGUACCUUUUGUAUAAUGGGUCAGCGACUUAUAUUUUGUAGCAAGGUUAACCGUAUAGGGGAGCCGUAGGGAAACCGAGUCUUAACUGGGCGAAUAGUUGCAAGGUAUAGACCCGAAACCCGGUGAUCUAGCCAUGGGCAGGUUGAAGGUUGGGUAACACUAACUGGAGGACCGAACCGACUAAUGUUGAAAAAUUAGCGGAUGACUUGUGGCUGGGGGUGAAAGGCCAAUCAAACCGGGAGAUAGCUGGUUCUCCCCGAAAGCUAUUUAGGUAGCGCCUCGUGAACUCAUCUUCGGGGGUAGAGCACUGUUUCGGCUAGGGGGCCAUCCCGGCUUACCAAACCGAUGCAAACUCCGAAUACCGAAGAAUGUUAUCACGGGAGACACACGGCGGGUGCUAACGUCCGUCGUGAAGAGGGAAACAACCCAGACCGCCAGCUAAGGUCCCAAAGUCAUGGUUAAGUGGGAAACGAUGUGGGAAGGCAUAGACAGCCAGGAUGUUGGCUUAGAAGCAGCCAUCAUUUAAAGAAAGCGUAAUAGCUCACUGGUCGAGUCGGCCUGCGCGGAAGAUGUAACGGGGCUAAACCAUGCACCGAAGCUGCGGCAGCGACGCUUAGGCGUUGUUGGGUAGGGGAGCGUUCUGUAAGCCGUUGAAGGUGGCCUGUGAGGGUUGCUGGAGGUAUCAGAAGUGCGAAUGCUGACAUAAGUAACGAUAAAGCGGGUGAAAAGCCCGCUCGCCGGAAGACCAAGGGUUCCUGUCCAACGUUAAUCGGGGCAGGGUGAGUCGACCCCUAAGGCGAGGCUGAAAAGCGUAGUCGAUGGGAAACAGGUUAAUAUUCCUGUACUUGGUGUUACUGCGAAGGGGGGACGGAGAAGGCUAGGCUAGCCGGGCGACGGUUGUCCCGGUUUAAGCGUGUAGGGGGUGUGACCUGGUAAAUCCGGUUNCUGGGUGACGAGCGGCGGACGGGUGAGUAAUGUCUGGGAAACUGCCUGAUGGAGGGGGAUAACUACUGGAAACGGUAGCUAAUACCGCAUAACGUCGCAAGACCAAAGAGGGGGACCUUCGGGCCUCUUGCCAUCAGAUGUGCCCAGAUGGGAUUAGCUAGUAGGUGGGGUAAUGGCUCACCUAGGCGACGAUCCCUAGCUGGUCUGAGAGGAUGACCAGCCACACUGGAACUGAGACACGGUCCAGACUCCUACGGGAGGCAGCAGUGGGGAAUAUUGCACAAUGGGCGCAAGCCUGAUGCAGCCAUGCCGCGUGUGUGAAGAAGGCCUUCGGGUUGUAAAGCACUUUCAGCGAGGAGGAAGGUGGUGAGCUUAAUACGUUCAUCAAUUGACGUUACUCGCAGAAGAAGCACCGGCUAACUCCGUGCCAGCAGCCGCGGUAAUACGGAGGGUGCAAGCGUUAAUCGGAAUUACUGGGCGUAAAGCGCACGCAGGCGGUUUGUUAAGUCAGAUGUGAAAUCCCCGGGCUCAACCUGGGAACUGCAUUUGAAACUGGCAAGCUAGAGUCUCGUAGAGGGGGGUAGAAUUCCAGGUGUAGCGGUGAAAUGCGUAGAGAUCUGGAGGAAUACCGGUGGCGAAGGCGGCCCCCUGGACGAAGACUGACGCUCAGGUGCGAAAGCGUGGGGAGCAAACAGGAUUAGAUACCCUGGUAGUCCACGCUGUAAACGAUGUCGAUUUGGAGGUUGUGCCCUUGAGGCGUGGCUUCCGGAGCUAACGCGUUAAAUCGACCGCCUGGGGAGUACGGCCGCAAGGUUAAAACUCAAAUGAAUUGACGGGGGCCCGCACAAGCGGUGGAGCAUGUGGUUUAAUUCGAUGCAACGCGAAGAACCUUACCUACUCUUGACAUCCAGAGAACUUUGCAGA